rnacentral:rRNA from 1 species
UACGUAUGGUGCAAGCGUUAUCCGGAUUUACUGGGCGUAAAGGGAGCGCAGGCGGUCUUUUAAGUCUGAUGUGAAAGCCUUCGGCUUAACCGGAGUAGUGCAUUGGAAACUGGGAGACUUGAGUGCAGAAGAGGAGAGUGGAACUCCAUGUGUAGCGGUGAAAUGCGUAGAUAUAUGGAAGAACACCAGUGGCGAAAGCGGCUCUCUGGUCUGUAACUGACGCUGAGGUUCGAAAGCGUGGGUAGCAAACAGG